rnacentral:rRNA from 1 species
AUUGAACGCUGGCGGCAGGCUUAACACAUGCAAGUCGAGCGAGCGGCGGACGGGUGAGUAAUGUCUGGGAAACUGCCUGAUGGAGGGGGAUAACUACUGGAAACGGUAGCUAAUACCGCAUACCAUCAGAUGUGCCCAGAGGGGAUUAGCUAGUAGGUGGUGUAAUGGCUCACCUAGGCGACGAUCCCUAGCUGGUCUGAGAGGAUGACCAGCCAAACGGAAACUGGGACACGGUCGAGACUCAUACGGGAGGCAACAGUGGGGAAUAUUGAACAAUGGGCGCAAGCCUGAUGCGGCCAUGCCGCGGGUGUGAAAAAGGCCUUCGGGUUGUAAAGCACUUUCAGCGAGGAGGCGUUAAUCGCAGAAGAAGCGCCGGCUAACUCCGUGCCAGCAGCCGCGGUAAUUC